rnacentral:rRNA from 1 species
GACGAACGCUGGCGGCGUGCUUAACACAUGCAAGUGGAGCGACGAACCAGGCUUCGGCCUGGGGCAAAGCCGCGAACGGGUGAGUAACACGUGGGUAACCUGCCCCGAUGACCGGGACAACCCGAGGAAACUCGGGCUAAUACCGGAUGUGGUCACCUCACAUAAGUGAGAUGACUAAAGAUAGCUUCGGCCUUCGCAUCGGGAUGGGCCCGCGGCGCAUUAGCUUGUUGGGGGGUAACGGCCUACCAAGGCGACGAUGCGUAGCUGGUCUGAGAGGACGAUCAGCCACACUGGGACUGAGACACGGCCCAGACUCCUACGGGAGGCAGCAGUGGGGAAUCUUGCGCAAUGCGCGAAAGCGUGACGCAGCAACGCCGCGUGGGGGAAGACGGCC